GUAUUCUCAAAAAACAAGUUACAGAACGCUACAAAAAUGAUACAGAGAAGAUUAGUAUGGCCCCUGAGCAAGAAUGACAUGCCAAUACAUGAAGCAGUCUAUAGUUUU